CUGGGCGUAAAGCGUCUGUAGGUGGUUUGAUAAGUCAACUGUUAAAUCUUGAGGCUCAACCUCAAAACCGCAGUCGAAACUAUUAGACUAGAGUAUAGUAGGGGUAAAGGGAAUUUCCAGUGGAGCGGUGAAAUGCGUAGAGAUUGGAAAGAACACCGAUGGCGAAGGCACUUUACUGGGCUAUUACUMACACUGAGAGACGAAAGCUAGGGUAGCAAAUGGGAUUAGAUACCCCAGUAGUCCUAGCUGUAAACAAUGGAUACUAGAUGUUGAACAGAUCGACCUGUGCAGUAUCAAAGCUAACGCGUUAAGUAUCCCGCCUGGGAAGUAUGCUCGCAAGAGUGAAACUCAAAGG
rnacentral:rRNA from 1 species